UUUCCGUAGGCGGACCUGCGGAAGGAUCAUUAUUGUAUAACCGAGGUGCGAGGGCUGUCGCUGACCCGAAAGGUCGUGCACGCCCGAGUGCCCUCACACACAUCCAUCUCACCCCUAUGUGCACCACCGCGUGGGUCCCCCUUUGGCUUGUUCGGAGGGGGGCUUACGUUUUCACACAAACUUUGUAUGCAGUGUAGAAUGUAUUUUUUGUUUUUGCGAUCACGCAAUCAAUACAACUUUCAACAACGGAUCUCUUGGUUCUG
rnacentral:misc_RNA from 1 species